AUCGUCCAAGGCCAUAGAGAAACUACUGCAUUCAUUUUGGCCGGCUGAAUUAGUUUGAGUUUCAGUUUGGUUAGAAGGCAUAGCGCCUCUCCUUAGUUCAAGCUGCAAAAACGAGUGCGACGCGGCUAGUUCUGACUACUGAAAUCUGCUGAAAGGAAGACUGGAGGGCCUUUAGCAGCAGUAGCAGUGGAACUUGGAAGGCUGCCUGGCUGGCCUCUACAACAGAGACGAAGUUUAGAAGUUAUUUGUCAACAAUGUUGUCCAUAUUGCAAGAGGUGGCUGACGAGCACCAACCAGCGUGUGCAGCAGCCUUUCCGUUGUAAACGGUGCGCUGACCGCGGAGCCGGGGGUUGGCGACCGCCGGCUGGCACUCACCACCGUCCACCCCAAGCUGGCCAUCAUCGACUGGCUCGAGCACACCAGCACGCUGAACCAGUUCAUCAGCUCGACGUUCCCCGACUUCGAGCAGUAGUGCGCCGAGACGCGCGAGCUGUUCAGUGGGAGCAGAUGAAGCGACAUGGGACUCAGAGCGGCGCCACUGACGUGCAGCUGCAGCUGAUCGGAAUCGACAGGACACGUGUUCGCGGCUCGGCCACCACUCAUCAGCCUGCUGCUCGUGCCGUUCCGUCUGACGGCGCAGAUGACCGGCCUGGCGGCGUCCCUCGACGCGUCCGGCCACACCCGGCUGCAGGCGCUGCGCUCGUCGCUUUGGGUUGUAAAUGCCGGUGAGCAGUGAGGGUUGCCUCGCUGAGUCGUGUGGGCGCUCGUCACUGUAGAGGUCGCUGUGAGCGCUGUGCUCCUCUUCGACCAGAGGAUAGGUGGCGGUAGCGGUCGGUACGCAGUCAGCAGCGUACUGCCACGUCAUAGACCGAUUGAAGGUCUUCAGUGCGUUAUGAAUAUGGCGCGGGUAGCUCGAUUCCGGCGGCGGCGUGACAUGGUGACCCCGUGACCUCUAGCCGUGUCGGUCCGUGUGCGCGGCCCAUUCGCCCCCGACUUGGGUUGUCGAUGGCGGCUGCCGGCGCCCUUAAAGGGACCCUCCCACCUUCAAAAAAGUUAAUGAAUUGGCAUGAAAGUGAUGUCGCUCGAUUCAGAAAGAGCAAAAACGAAUAUCUACCAAAUUUCACCGAAAAAUAUUCACCGGUUUUCAAGCUAUUAGACUUUUACUUUUGUUUACUUUUUUAGGAUCUCCGCUGUUCCUAGCGACUUCAUUUUGGAAGUGCGGCGUUCGCGGCAGAUGUUGCGCGCAAAUAGCAUAUACCAACACUGCUUUACAAAGAUGUUAGUAUAAGGUUUUAAAAUCGUUAGAUCACCGCUGACGUCACAAAUUCUAAGGGGGCAUCUCAAUGCAUUAGCCCCUUAGAAUCCGAAAACUGCAAGUUUGAAAUUCCAUAUCUCCGAAUUAAAGCAUUUUUCGAUGUUGUGAGUGCCCAAACCGGUAUUUGCAGGCCAUGGCCACCAAUUUGGCUAUCUCAACUCAAAACUAAUGUUAAGGUGGGAUGGUCACUUUAAAAUCGUACGUGUUUUAGACAAAUUAAAGGGAAGUGAUAGUGAUAUCAAAAAGGUAUAAUUUAUUUUUCUAAUGAUUUUAUUGCGUGCUUUGACUGAGUGUCUUGAUUUAAGUUUGUUUGCUUUCAAAUUUACGAUAAUACAACAGCACAGGGUCAAAAGGCGGUUAAGACGUAGAACAGUAGCUGUUACAUUGAGGCUUUGUACGCGAGCCGGCCGGCCGAGUGAUAACUGCGCGCGCGCGCCGUAUAAGAGAUACUGAUUCGGAGAUGCUGAUUUCCAAGAUCGUCGAGCGCCAAGUUCUGCGAUGGCAAUAUCUCCUGAAUAUAGUGAACACUGAACACAGCGACAGAUGACAACGCCUUGACAAUUGUUUUCGUCGUAAUACGUGCUACUCAAAGAAUGCCACGAAGGUGUGUCGUUGCUUUAUUUGCUAGUCCGCACAUCUGAGAUCGUUUGAGACAAGUGUUUGAAGUUUAACCGGAAUCGCUCUGAUAGCUGCGAUGCAAAUUCCAACAGCUGUUAUUCUACUAAUGAAUAGGUAAUUAUGCUAUUGCUGGCCAUGAAUUAUGAAUAAAUCACAAAUUUUGUAAAAGCAA